GACGAACCGAGCGAACGUUGUUCGGAAUCACUGGGCUUAAAGGGCGCGUAGGCGGGUUCUCAAGUCCGGGGUGAAAUCCCACAGCUCAACUGUGGAACUGCCUCGGAUACUGGGUGCCUCGAGGGUGGUAGGGGUAUGCGGAACUAUCGGUGGAGCGGUGAAAUGCGUAGAUAUCGUUUGGAACGCCAAUGGUGAAAACAGGUCGCUGGGGAUGAGCUGACGCUGAGACACGAAAGCCAGGGGAGCAAACGGG
rnacentral:rRNA from 1 species